AUUGAACGCUGGCGGCAGGCCUAACACAUGCAAGUCGAACGAGUGUCGUACGGGUGAGUAAUGUCUGGGAAACUGCCUGAUGGAGGGGGAUAACUACUGGAAACGGUAGCUAAUACCGCAUACCCUCCGUUGUUCCCAGAUGGGAUUAGCUUGUUGGUGGGGUAACGGCUCACCAAGGCGACGAUCCCUAGCUGGUCUGAUAGGAUGACCAGCCACACGGGGACUGAGACACGGUCCAGACUCCUACGGGAGGCAGCAGUGGGGAAUAUGGCACAAUGGGCGAAAGCCUGAUGCAGCCAUGCCGCGUGUAUGAAGAAGGCCUUAGGGUUGUAAAGUACGUUCAGCGGGGAGGCGGUAACCGCAGAAGAAGCACCGGCUAACUCCGUGCCAGCAGCCGCGGUAAUAC
rnacentral:rRNA from 1 species